AAAUUGGUUUCGGUUUGGGUCACUUUGUUGCAUGAGCUUUGUCCUCAAGAUUGUUGAUCCGACAGUGUAAACAUGCCAAACUUGAUGGAAUUAAGAGCUGAAUUGAACAAAUGUGCAUUUUCAUAUCUUAUGCCUUUUGUCCUUUUUGGCACACCGUAGUUAGGCACAGCCUGUAGCCACUGUGAUGGAAAAUAAUGACACCAACAGUCUUUAGAAGCUACGUUUCACUUUGGAAAAUCUCUCACAACACUUUGUUGACAAGUUUAAAGUAAUCAAAACUUUUUUCAUUAAAACAAAUCAAAAUAUCACUGAAGAACUUUCUAGUUUUAGCUACCACCCAUGUGCUAAGCAGGCAAGUGCAGUUUUAUAUCAACCAAUCACAGUGCUUUUGACUGUCUCCCUUCAGGGUCUGUUCCACACACUCCUACAGACAAUAAAAAAACUGAAUGUUGUUGUUAUUAGUUUGAUUCAAAUAUUGUACUGAUGAGAAAGUGGGUCAGAUCAGACUGGUCUGAAAAAAACACAGGGUGGUGGUGAGUGGUGGGACUUGUGAGUCUGAUACUGGGACCUUUUUGAUAGACAGAGAGAUGGUUUAUCUGACCCAAGCUUUACGCUUCCAUAGCAUAGCAGUAGAUUUUGAAGAUUUUCUGUAUCAAUCGCUUUCAAGUCCAGCCAGUUUUUGGUCUUAUGCAAGCUAUCUCCUCAUUCUUGAAUGAGGAGAUAGCUUUAAGAUUCAGUCUAGUCAAGUCUGAAAGGCACAGGCACACGUCAGUUUGGGGUGACGCCUAAAGGCCCCUGCAGUUGGGAUCCAGCAGAAGUGAAGAUUUUCAACAUUUGUGUUUCGAGUGACACAGUGCCAACAAACAGAGUUUAUCUGUGGUGAAGAUCAGAGGUGAAAAACAGAGGAGGAGGAGGAGGAGGGCAGUAGCAGUUGUGACUGGGAAAGAGCGUGCAGGCUCAGCAGAUUUUCUUACAAUACGAUUAAGUUUUAAGUAAUGCAUUUACCCUAAUGAAAAAAGAAAGAAAGAAAUGAAAUCUAAAAUAAUGAAAACUGGGAUAACCCAGUCAGCAGAGAGUUGCAGUUGGACUCCGAAGAUGUGGGACAUCAAUACAAUAAUACAGUGUCAGUAUUAAACUGCAGAGAAAUGUCGCCUUAAUGGAAAACAAAUGAAGCAGCAGUGGGUUGAUGCCUUAGACGGGACCGUGUAAUACUUUUCUGAAUCAUCUAGGGAGCGUCACAACAGCUGGGAGAUGAGAAAUGGGUUAAUCGUAUCAAAAAUGUGUGUCGGUGUAUAUAAUGCCAGUAUCUUUGAACUUUUGAGUCUAAGACUGCAAAUCAUUUUUGGGUGGAUUAACUUAUUACACUUCAUGUUGACUUGUACCACAUCAAAGCUGUUUUAUGUCUUUUGUGUCAAAGUGCCAUGUUUUAUAAAUUCCUUGGUUCUCUUGAAGUGCACAUGUAGAGGUCUAUAACUGAAACCAAUCCUGUUCAUUACUGAUGUUUUAUCCAGCACAUCUUUUCAGAUUUAGCUGACAAGUCCAUGCCUCUGUCACAGUGUAGCCCAAGGCUUUCAGCUAAAGAGAGAGCAAAUGUAUCAGCAAAGCCAAACCGUGGCAUUUCCACAACACUAAUGAGAAACAGGUUAUUUCGACACAACACAGUGCGUGUAUAACUAAACGUUGUUGUGGACCAGCUCACAGAAAAAUGAUUACAUUGCACAAGAAGAGAGUGUAUUAUUAUGCAUAGCCUCUGGUAAAGCAGCUCAUAUUUUCUCCUUAACCUAUGCCGUGAAAGGGCUUUUGCAGAAUGUGUCAGGCUCUCAGUGGAAAUGCCUUUGCUUGGUUGCAAACAUGAUUGACCUUUUAAGUUAGUUCUUUUUAUGGGAAGCGUGAAAUGCAAUCAUGUCUGAUUUGACGGGUGGAAUGAAGUUUGGGUUUCCUGGAUGUCGAUUUCAUUACUCUGAACUUUCCUGUCACCUGUGAUUGUGCACCUUGCUGUAUGAUCCUAUUUGUGGCUUUAGUUUUUUUUUUUGUUGUUUGUUUGUUCCCUAAGACCAACUGUGCAGGAGAGGCUUGAUUUCUAUUAAACUAAGAACCAGCAUUACAGGGAGGCCCCAGGGGUACCAGCCCUGCCCAUCCAGAAUUUGGCCUUCCCUGGAGGAAUCAACAGAAUUAUUUUGGUACAAUAAUUUUUAUCCCUUUAAUUUGUUUUUGAGAAAAACGGCCUCCAUAGUGCUGAUGUGACUGUCAUAAUAAGACACUGUUACUGACUUUCAGUCCUGUGCAAAUGCUGAAAAUAUUUAGUGUGACGCACACAACAUACAGUGGAUUUGGGUAUGUCCUAGUUAGAGAGUGCCAAUCUUGUCACAAGGUAGGGUUUGGGCCUUUGGCCUGCUGAAAUGAAUAUAUUUUUAUACGUCUUGUCCUGCCAUCUACAUGAAACCACAGGAUUAAGUCAAUAAAAACAGUACUUUUGGAAAACUCUGGCCAAAGUAAGAAUUUGGAGAACUCUGGUUUUGCAUUUGUGUGCUAACAUAGAUAACCAGAGUUUUAAAUUCCCAAACAUCAGUGUCCAUAACAACUAAUAGUUCAAUGUCAUAUACUAUGCACCCUUUUUUAUGUCUGGCAGUGGAUGGCACAGAUACAUACAGAAUAUAUAUUUUUGUUAGGAGCAAAGGAGGAGUGCUUUGUAGAAAGUUCCUCCACACCAAAAAAUCUUCUUCCACCUUUCAUGUGUCUUUUUAAAUUUAUGCUUUCCUAAGCGUUGCAUAAAUAAAUUCAACCUUUUUGUCAGUGAACAAACUACACAGCGCUAUGUUUCAUGUUUGGGGAAGUGACGGCAAGAAAGGGAAGCUAGCUCUGAUUGGAUAGAAGGGGUCUAACUUUUUGCCAAAUACUACCAACUCCAGGUCUGGCAUGCUUAUAACUGCGGUCAAUAGCACAUUUAUGCGGUUUGGUGUGGGGGGAUUUUAUUUGAAAACAAUGAUGUGUGUAUGGGGCUGGAUAUUCGUUCAUAAAAAUACGCAUGUUCAAGGCCUGAGUCCCUCAGUUAUCCCAAUAAUGUUUUGGUCAUGUGAGAUUCUAACAAAUCAGAGUGUCUCCUCUCAUUUCCAUUAGGAUCCAGGUGUGUCUGCAGGCGAUCGUUUCACUAUUUAUAUGGCAGAUUUCAGCCUCUCUCGCUUUUAUGUCCCUAUAAAUGUAGAGAAAAUGGAGGCCGCUGUAAAUGUUUUGUUGAUGCGUGGAUUGAUUUCAUAUCCCCUGAAACAAUUAUAUUGAACAGCAGAAGCCAUUGGGUAAUUUCCAAAUUUAACAGCUAUUAUGAUUAUGCACUAGGCACAGCUGUGAACCUCGUGACAUAUUUGAAGCUUCAUACAUGCAAUCUGAUGAUCUUAAAUUUGAAGUGAGAAACAUUCACUGCUAAUCGGUAUUUGGGCUUCAUAACUUUAAUACUUGAUCAUAUGUAUUUAUACAACACACAAAAUGGAUACAGUUAAAGGUGGAGUGGGCAUGAUUCCAUUAAAGAAGCGUCUUUUUUGUGGUUUAUAUACAAAAAAGCUAUUAGUAUCAGUCAAUAGCUAUUAGUUGUUAAUGACAUUUGGUAAUAUAAUGCUAUCGCUGCGUUUGUUAUGUCAGUGUAGUCAACAUUUAAAUUUUUUUGAGCAGGCUGCACUUUCUAAAUGUAAACAAAGCCAUUCUCUGCCUCCCCCAACCUGAUUGGUUGUGAGGCGGACGCUGCUCCCUCAUGUUGUGAGGCACACUCCACAUCCUUGAAUAAUGUACAUCAGCCCAAACAAAGUUAGCGAGCUACAAUAUCGGACAGUAGAAACCAACCAGAAAGUACGGAAAAUUGUCUGAGUCACCCCUUGGCCACGACUGCCAAUACAAGAAAGAAAACAAAAUAAAUACCAGAGAUUCUGGCGGAACAACGUAGCGCCGCUAAAAAGUAUUUAUCUGCAUUAUAUCUGAAUUUAAUUGGAACGACACGAGCGAGCAAGAGUGUCUGUUUGUGGGCGGGGCUUGCUGGAGCAGAGAGGGAGGGAAGAGGAGGAGCUGAGAGGAAAACUGUUUGGGAGGGGUAGUGUUUACAUUCAAGGAUUCUCCCAAAUACUGGCACUUCCUCAGAUCCUGCCUACCUCAACUCUACUCUGUGUUAAAGAGACUGUAGAUAGCUUUAGUAGUGUCCUCAUCUUCAGUGAUCUGUUAUCAGCCCCACACUAAGGACAGUACUGUGAUAAAAGAGGACAAAGAAAGUUGUAUCUUUGGUCCUCUGCCUUUACAGAAAAAAAACACUCUCAAUAUCAUUGCAUCACCAUAUACAUUGAUAUUCUUUAAUAAGUGGGGAUACUCUUUGAGUCUUCGUUUGAUACUCUGAUCUCACUCAUGCAACAGCUUACUUAAGACUUUAGACCAGGUUUUUAUUGUAUAAAGAUGCAAAUGCUUGUCUUCAUGCCACCCCUUUUUCAAAGGACCAAAGCUCAUUUUUGAUCCAACAUGUCCAUAGGCAUUAACAAAAAUCCACAUUUAUCUGCUGCUGCUAACACCACUCACACUGCACACCAAGAUGCUUCGCUCUAAGUACACAUCAGGGCCCCUUUGAUUUGCAAUAUGAAGUCACUUAGCCUGAUGUGCAUCCACUGCAAAGUGUAACAGCGUUUUUUUUAUACAUUAGACAGUGUGGUUAAUAAAAAGCCACACUGCUGGGUGCAGACACAGUCACAAUUAAGUAUGAAUGCACAUUUCAGUUUUGUAGUUGUAGUUUUCUGUGUAGUCUGAAUGUCUGGGCCCGCCCAUAAAACUCAAAUGUCUGGCCAGUUACUUAUUUCUGAUGCCAGUUCUUUAAAAGUAAUUGGAAUCAAAAGUUCAGUCUUUGUCAUAAUGGCAUUACAUCCCACACGCUGUUUAUGUCCCAUCAAGAUGGACAGUAAUGAUCUCUGGGUGCAUGUAAAGGUGUGGAGCUGUAGAGCAUAUUACAGAGGAGAGACCGGUCUGACCAUGAACAGGGGAUGUUCAAUGUGCAAACAACAGACAACACUUUGAUCAGUCAGACAGUUAGAGCACAGGGAGCCAGUGUUGGAGCACUUGAAUGGAUGUUAGGAGAUUAUAUUUCAUACCUGAAGUCCCUCAGCCCCAGUUAAUGAGAAAGAUAAGCUCAUUUGAAUAAAGGAAAGAAGUGAAAACUAUCCUCUAUUGUGAAAUGGUGCCAGAUUCUAAUGUGUGGGUCAACAGAGAGCAUAAAAAAAGUAAUGCAGUGAUCAACCUUCAGUGGAUUUCAGUUGAACUAAGUCGUUAACACCUUACAGUUUUAGUAUAAAAUGCAUGUGAUCUAGUUCAGCUUUAACAGUAAGUUAUAUUUUUGUUAAUCAUGCAGUGCUUAAAACAAAUUUCAUAUUAUAUAUGACACUCCUAUGAUUUGGCAGUGAACCCAGACAGACAGAAUCUUCUAUUCCAUACUUUCCAUGGUCCUGAAAACAUAUACAGUUUGUGGAUCAGGCAGAUUAGCCGCCAGAGUGAUUGGAAGGUUCCAUUAUGUGUGAAAUUGAUCAUGAGCUAGUUGAGCUAAAUCAUUCUAUGUAAAAACAAAGACAUUGAAGCAUUUGGUCAGGAGAAAAAGGUUAGGGAAUCAAGCCCCAGCUCCUCAUGCACACCUAUCAAAGUGCCCUUGAGCAAGAUACCAAGCCUUAACAUACUCACUUUGACCAGAUAAGCACCAUGCUGGAUGAUGCUGUGGAUUGCACCACUUUGUUCUAGUGCCAGUGAAUGUCCCUGUAGUUUAGUAAACCACUCUUGUUGUAAAAACACCCUUUUAGUCACAGUCCAGUCUGUGUAAAGAGAGAAUCUGAAGUUCGGCACUUUAUUUAUCUCUGCUGCAUUGAAUUUGGUCAUUCACUAAGUCCCACCUCACAGGGUUACUUACAGUAAACUGCACAUCCCUGUAUAUGCCUUGGUGCAGCAAAGCUUGGAGCCUUUUGGCGGGUAGGUUGGUAAGUAAGUACUGAUUUACUACACAGACAGAAAACCUGGUUUGGAUUGGUUUCAGUCCUAGCUAAGUUGUUCAAGCUCAGUAUUAACAAUCGUGCAAUAUAUCCUCCUUCACUUCCAGUAGUGUGGAGUUUCCAAGGGUUCAGUUCUUUGACCAAUCCUGUUCCCCUUGUACAUGCCUUCACUUGGUCAGUUAUUUAGCUAGUUCCCUAACAUUUCUCAUCAUUGCUACGCAGGCAAUUUUGUUUGCAUAGCAAUUGUCAAUGUGUAGAGUUAAGAGCACAGCUGGAAAGUGUAAAUGUUACUGAAAGAAGCACAUACAGAACAUCCACACUUUAAGGGCUGCUGCAGCUAAUUCCCGGACAGUCUGCCUCUGAUUUAUGGCAACCAGCAUUAAGAACCACAACUAUGAACUUUCAGUACUAAAGUGUGCUCACUCUUAACAUAAUAUCAACUUUUAAAAACCUUUUUCCCAAAAUGUGUCCUAGCCAAUACUGGGACACUGCAACAGCCCUAUUAUCUACCAAGGCACUUAAUAGUUGCGCUAUGGCUGAUGCUUUUGAAUGUUGUUGCUCCAAGAGUAACAUAUACUACCUCUUGGGUGCUGAGGUUAUGAAAAUGAGGUACCACGUUUUCUGAAAUUGUCUUGUCUGUAAGCCUCUGUGCUUUCUCAGGCCCUCUGGCUGACCCCUCUUUGAUUGUUUUGAAUGGACAUGUGGUUACACUCAUGGACACAUAUAAAAAAAGAGAAAACACAGCCUGAAACACUGUGUUCCUCUGUCUCUCAUCUGUGCCAUUGCUUCCAUCCAUCACCUCCUCUUCCUCCCCAGUGAUUACCUUAAAAUAGGAUUGGGUUGUAGUGCUUUGUCAGAUCUGGAUGAAAUGGAUUUACUCACCUCC